GGAGGGGUGGCCGAGUGGCUGAAGGCACCGGUCUUGAAAACCGGCGACGGGAAACCGUUCCAGAGUUCGAAUCUCUGCCUCUCCA
rfam:Erwinia billingiae strain Eb661 complete chromosome.